GCCGGAUAAUCGCGCCCUAAAGGGUGAGGAAAGUCCGUGCAUCCAAGGACAGCCCGCCGGAGAAACUCCGGACGGCGUGAGCCGGUGGAUCGGACCACAGAAAGGGGGUAAAUAAUUCGGAUUAUUUCUGAUUUGUUUAACCCAAAAGACUACCGAUGGAUUUUAUAUUACAGGUGAUGGUGCAAAGGUGAGGUAAGAGCUCACCGGCUGUGCUGAGAAGUACAGGCCAGGCAACCCCCGGGCGGAUGCAAGAUUGAAUCAGGCGUUUGAGGUGUCCGCCGAGCCUGAAAAAAUCGCUUGAGAUUAGGAGUAAUCCUGAUACCAGACAGAUGAUUAUCGGGGUUUUUAACCCCCAACCGCAAGGUUGAGAAACAGAACACGGCUUAUGAACUGCUUU
rnacentral:RNase_P_RNA from 1 species